rnacentral:miRNA from 1 species
UUUCAUUGUAUUUGUGUGAUAAAAGUAUUUAAAUCCUGAGCUUUGCUUAUUUCUUCACAAAUACAG